UGUAAAAUUCUCAGCGUUCACUUGAUC
rnacentral:sRNA from 1 species